UACGUAGGGGGGCAAGCGUUGUCCGGAUUUAUUGGGCGUAAAGAGCGUGUAGGCGGCCAGGUAGGUCCGUUGUGAAAACUGGAGGCUUAACCUCCAGCUGUCGAUGGAAACCAUCUGGCUAGAGUCCGGAAGAGGAGAGUGGAAUUCCUGGUGUAGCGGUGAAAAUGCGCAGAUAUCAGGAAGAACACCCGUGGCGAAGGCGGCUCUCUGGGGACGGUACUGACGCUGAGACGCGAAAAGCGUGGGGGAGCGAAACAGG
rnacentral:rRNA from 1 species